GACGAACGCUGGCGGCGUGCUUAACACAUGCAAGUCGAACGGAAAGGCCCUGCUUUUGUGGGGUGCUGAGUGGCGAACGGGUGAGUAACACGUGAGUAACCUGCCCUUGACUUUGGGAUAACUUCAGGAAACUGGGGCUAAUACCGGAUAGGAGCUCCUGCUGCAUGGUGGGGGUUGGAAAGUUUCGGCGGUUGGGGAUGGACUCGCGGCUUAUCAGCUUGUUGGUGGGGUAGUGGCUUACCAAGGCUUUGACGGGUAGCCGGCCUGAGAGGGUGACCGGCCACAUUGGGACUGAGAUACGGCCCAGACUCCUACGGGAGGCAGCAGUGGGGAAUAUUGCACAAUGGGCGGAAGCCUGAUGCAGCAACGCCGCGUGCGGGAUGACGGCCUUCGGGUUGUAAACCGCUUUCGCCUGUGACGAAGCGUGAGUGACGGUAAUGGGUAAAGAAGCACCGGCUAACUACGU
rnacentral:rRNA from 1 species